rnacentral:tRNA from 1 species
GUUGGUUUGACUCAGUGGUAGAGUAUCGGCCUGCGGACCGAAGGGUCUUGGGUUUGAUUCCAGUCAACG